rnacentral:rRNA from 1 species
UAGCUAGUUGGUGAGGUAACGGCCCACCAAGGCGACGAUCGGUAGCCGGACUGAGAGGUUGAACGGCCACAUUGGGACUGAGACACGGCCCAGACUCCUACGGGAGGCAGCAGUGGGGAAUAUUGCACAAUGGGGGAAACCCUGAUGCAGCGACGCCGCGUGGAGGAAGAAGGUCUUCGGAUUGUAAACUCCUGUUGUUGAGGAAGAUAAUGACGGUACUCAACAAGGAAGUGACGGCUAACUACGUGCCAGCAGCCGCGGUAAAACGUAGGUCACAAGCGUUGUCCGGAAUUACUGGGUGUAAAGGGAGCGCAGGCGGGCGAUCAAGUUGGAAGUGAAAUCCAUGGGCUCAACCCAUGAACUGCUUUCAAAACUGGUCGUCUUGAGUAGUGCAGAGGUAGGCGGAAUUCCCGGUGUAGCGGUGGAAUGCGUAGAUAUCGGGAGGAACACCAGUGGCGAAGGCGGCCUACUGGGCACCAACUGACGCUGAGGCUCGAAAGUGUGGGUAGCAAACAGGAUUAGAUACCCUGGUAGUCCACACCGUAAACGAUGAUUACUAGGUGUUGGGAGAUUGACCCUCUCAGUGCCGCAGUUAACACAAUAAGUAAUCCACCUGGGGAGUACGACCGCAAGGUUGAAACUCAAAGGAAUUGACGGGGGCCCGCACAAGCAGUGGAGUAUGUGGUUUAAUUCGACGCAACGCGAAGAACCUUACCAAGUCUUGACAUCCUCUGACGAACGUAGAAAUACGUUUUCUCUUCGGAGCAGAGAGACAGGUGGUGCAUGGUUGUCGUCAGCUCGUGUCGUGAGAUGUUGGGUUAAGUCCCGCAACGAGCGCAACCCUUAUGGUCAGUUACUACGCAAGAGGACUCUGGCCAGACUGCCGUUGACAAAACGGAGGAAGGUGGGGAUGACGUCAAAUCAUCAUGCCCUUUAUGACUUGGGCUACACACGUACUACAAUGGCGUUAAACAAAGAGAAGCAAGACCGCAAGGUGGAGCAAAACUCAGAAACAACGUCCCAGUUCGGACUGCAGGCUGCAACUCGCCUGCACGAAGUCGGAAUUGCUAGUAAUCGUGGAUCAGCAUGCCACGGUGAAUACGUUCCCGGGCCUUGUACACACCGCCCGUCACACCAUGAGAGCCGGGGGGACCCGAAGUCGGUAGUCUAACCGCAAGGAGGACGCCGCCGAAGGUAAAACUGGUGAUUGGGGUGAAGUCGUAACAAGGUAA